GAUGAACGCUGGCGGCGUGCCUAAUACAUGCAAGUCGAACGGGGUAUUUGAGCAAUCAGAUACUUAGUGGCGAACGGGUGAGUAACGCGUUGGUGACCUGCCCCAAAGAGGGGGAUAACAGUUCGAAAGGACUGCUAAUACCCCAUGUGGUUGUUGGUGCUUAGAAACCGAUAACUAAAGGAGAAAUUCACUUUGGGAGGGGCCUGCGUCCCAUCAGCUAGUUGGUAGGGUAAUGGCCUACCAAGGCAAGGACGGGUAGGGGACCUGAGAGGGUGACCCCCCACAAUGGAACUGAAACACGGUCCAUACACCUACGGGAGGCUG
rnacentral:rRNA from 1 species